rnacentral:rRNA from 1 species
UACGGAGGGUGCAAGCGUUAUCCGGAUUCACUGGGUUUAAAGGGUGCGUAGGCGGGCAUGUAAGUCCGUGGUGAAAUCUCUGAGCUUAACUCAGAAACUGCCAUGGAUACUAUAUGUCUUGAAUAUUGUGGAGGUGAGCGGAAUAUGUCAUGUAGCGGUGAAAUGCUUAGAUAUGACAUAGAACACCCAUUGCGAAGGCAGCUCACUACACAAUGAUUGACGCUGAGGCACGAAAGCGUGGGGAUCAAACAGG